rnacentral:rRNA from 1 species
UACGUAGGGUGCAAGCGUUGUCCGGAAUUAUUGGGCGUAAAGAGCUCGUAGGCGGUUCGUCACGUCGGCUGUGAAAUCCCGAGGCUCAACCUCGGGUCUGCAGUCGAUACGGGCGGACUUGAGUACUGCAGGGGAGACUGGAAUUCCUGGUGUAGCGGUGAAAUGCGCAGAUAUCAGGAGGAACACCGGUGGCGAAGGCGGGUCUCUGGGCAGUAACUGACGCUGAGGUGCGAAAGCGUGGGGAGCAAACAGG